rnacentral:tRNA from 2 species
AAGGCUUUAAGUUAAAUAAACUUAUAACCUUCAAAGCUAUAAAUAAAGAUAAAUUAAUUCUUUAAGUCUUA